rfam:Eutrema salsugineum unplaced genomic scaffold scaffold_9, whole genome shotgun sequence.
UGAAUGCCUGUGAUGGUGUUAAAUAUACUUUGAGAGCUUAGUCUCUAGGAAAAAAGAAACAACUCUGAGGCAUUUU